rnacentral:rRNA from 1 species
GUACAUGAUUACAUCAUAGUGUUAAUGCAUUGGAUCCCACUAGAACUUCACAGUUAAGUGCGCUUGGGGUAGAGUAGUAUUGGGAUGGGUGACCACCCAGAAAGUCCUAGUAUUUUACAUC